GAGGGUAUAGCUCAGUGGUAGAGUGGAUGUAGCAUGCAUGAGGUCCUGGGUUCAAUCCCCAGUAUCUCCA
rnacentral:tRNA from 1 species